GGUAGUAGCUGAAUCAAUUGAA
rnacentral:snRNA from 1 species